rnacentral:lncRNA from 1 species
GGACUCAGCUGGGAUGAGAGGAACCCUUGGUGGAUUGUCACUCUUGCUCAAUGGCCUGUGGCCCCUGGUGACGGGCUGUUCUCUUCCCCAGUGGAGUUGCCAGUAUUGACCAAGGAUCAUACACAAGGAGGGCACUGGCCACCUGACUGCAGAGAGCCACUGCUGUGGAGUCACAAAGCGAAGCCUACCCUGUGGGAGAGCCAGGAACAUUUCUGACUUGUGGAAGGCCUGGGGCACCAUGGCAAAGGAGCAAGUGAGAUGGGCCAUCCUAAACGGCUGUCGCAUGCCAGGAUGAAGGGCCAUGCAUCCAUUCAUUUGGCUGGAUACUAAGGACAGAGCCAUGCAUCUGUUCAUCUCAUGGACACAAAGACAAGUUUCCUGGUGUCUUCCUGCAAGACAGAAUCAUGCAUCAGUUUAUUUGCCUGAGUACUAAGGUAACUCUUCCUUUGUCUUCCCACAGGACAGGGCCAUGCUUCUGUUCAUCUACUGGGACACUAAGGAAUCUGCAAGGAAUCUAUUCAUCAGCUUGGAUACUAAGACAGAGCCAUGCAUCUAGUCAUCUUCUUGGAUACUAAGGAAAGGCUGCUUCUGUCUUUGUGCAAGACAGGGCUAUGCAUCUGUUCAAGUGGUGGGAUAAUAAGAUAAGUCUGCUUUGGUUUUCUUUAUGACAGAGCCAUGUUUCUGUUCAUCUACCAAGACAUUAAAGUAAUUCUGCUUCUGUCUUCCUACAGGAGAGAUCCGUAUAUCUUUUCACCUGUUGGGAUACUAAGAUAAGUCUGUUUGCCUUCCUACACAAUGGGGACAUGCAUCUAUUCAUCUGCUCAGACACUAAGAAUGGGGCCAUGCAUCUGUUCAUCUUCUCAUAUACUAAGUAAGGCUGCUUGUGUCUUCAUAUGGGACAGGGCCAUGCAUCUUUUUAUGUGCUGGAAUACUAAGGUAAGUCUACUGAUGUUUUCUUACAUGACAGAAUCAUGCAUCUGUUCAUCUGCCUGAAUACUAGGGUAAGGCUCCUGUUGUCUUCCUGUAGGAUAAAGCCAUGCAUGUCUUCAUGGGCCUAGGUACUACCUUAAUUGUUCUUCUGUCUUCCCACAGGACAGGGCCAUGCAUCUGUUCAUCUUCUUAUAUACUAAGGACAGAUCCACACACUUCAUCUGCUUGGACACCAUGAAAGUCUCCUUCUGUCUACCUACAGGACACAGCCAUGAAUCUAUUCAUCAGCUCAGAUACCAAGGACCUUGUGCUUUCAAGGUAGGCAAAGCACCACUGAGCUACCUUCCCACCUGCUGAUGUCUUCCUGCAAGACAGGGUCAUGCAUUUGGUCAUCUUCUCAGAUACUAAGGUAAGGCUGCUCCUGUCAUCAUACAAGACAGGGCCGUGCAUCUGUUCAUGUGCUGGGAUACUAAGGUAAGUCUACUGAUGUUUUCCUACAUGACAGAAUCAUGCAUCUGUUCAUCUGCCUGAAUACUAGGGUAAGGCUCCUGAUGUCUUCCUGUAGGAUAAAGCCAUGCAUGUCUUCAUGGGCCUAGGUACUACCUUAAUUGUUCUUCUGUCUUCCCACAGGACAGGGCCAUGGAUCUGUUCUUCUCCUUAUAUACUCAGGUAAGUCUGCUUCUGUCUUCCUAGAGGACAGAGCCAUGCAUUUGUUCAUCUACACAGACACUAAGGCAAGUCUUUGGAUGUCCUCCUGCAGGACAGAUCCAUGCAUCUGUUAAUGUGCACAGAUACUAAAGUAAGUCUGUUAAAAUCCUUGUGUUGGACCCAGCUUCUUUUGAACUUUCUUGGUGGCCAUGGAGUGAGUGUUUUGUCCCCUGAAGAGUUCAAACUUACUUGGCAUCCUAACGGUAGGGCUCGGGGAAGUGGUUAUGUCCUGCCGAGCGAGUACUUGCAAUGGCAUUAGUGGGAAUUCAUAACUUUGGCCUUUUUGCUUUCUGCCAUUUAGAGAUACAGGUCCUCUUUUCUGUGGAUGGAUCAUCAAGUUGCCCUCAUGCAGUGGAAACACAGCCUUCAAAAGACAAAUGAUUCUCCCAUCCCUUUGAGUUCCUAUGUCUCAGCCUCCGGAACCUAGCCUAGAAUUGUACAAGACACCACCAGAAACCUCAGAAAUCAACGAGCAAAACACUGAAACAGAUUGCUUCUCCUCGCUGACUACAAGAUGGCUGCUACCCAUCCUGGGACCCUUCAUUGUCAUCAUCUGUAUGCAGCGCCUUGAUCAAUUUUUUUCCAAGGCUGGAUUCAUCCAGCCACUAACUUCCUCACCUCCCAAAAGCUGAUGAACAGAUAUCCCUACCGGUGUGAGACCCCAACCCCACCUACCAACUCAGCUCCUCCCCCUGACAAUGGCCCCAGUCAGCAUGAAGCUGCUACUUGAGACAGCUCAUGACCUCAUCCCUUAUAACAAGGAGCCGUGAAUGUAAGGCCUAAACCCACCAGGCCUAAGCACAGCAUCCUUCAUCCUUCAGCAGCCUUCUUGGCCCUAGCAGCAGCUCGGAAGGAGGCCUCAGCACUUAGUCCCUCUUCCCAUGUCCUCAGUGAAAGCCUGCUCUCUUUCAUUCCGUGUCGUGGCACUGGUGUAUAGUCACUGGAGACAGUAAACUUCCA